rnacentral:misc_RNA from 1 species
GUGAAUCAUCGAAUCUUUGAACGCAAAUUGCACUCUCCUCGGAGAGUAUGCCUGUUUGAGGGUCAGCCUAUAAAAAUCGGCAUCGGUUCUGUUUCGCGGUUGCGUUCUUCGGAAAUUGGGUCAUCUUAAAUCCUUUUGAUUUAAGCGGCUUAAAAUUUUCUUUUUGUUCCAUGAACGUUUCCAAGAUCUAUUUCUUUACACGUUUAAGGGAUCGAUUUUUACUAGACGGUACCAUCAUAUCGGAUCGCGUCCAUAAUCUUUCAUUAACUUAACUCAGCAAGGGUA